GACGAACCGAGCGAACGUUAUUCGGAAUCACUGGGCUUAAAGGGCGCGUAGGCGGGCCAUCAAGUCAGGGGUGAAAGCCCCCAGCUCAACUGGGGAAGUGCCUUUGAUACUGGUGGUCUCGAGGGGGAUAGGGGCGUGCGGAACUUCCGGUGGAGCGGUGAAAUGCGUAGAUAUCGGAAGGAACACCGGUGGCGAAAGCGGCGCGCUGGACUCCCUUCUGACGCUGAGGCGCGAAAGCCAGGGGAGCGAACGGG
rnacentral:rRNA from 1 species